rnacentral:rRNA from 1 species
GAUGAACGCUGGCGGCGUGCCUAAUACAUGCAAGUCGAGCGAACAGACGAGGAGCUUGCUCCUCUGACGUUAGCGGCGGACGGGUGAGUAACACGUGGAUAACCUACCUAUAAGACUGGGAUAACUUCGGGAAACCGUAGCUAAUACCGGAUAACAUGUUGAACCGCAUGGUUCAACAGUGAAAGACGGUCUUGCUGUCACUUAUAGAUGGAUCCGCGCCGCAUUAGCUAGUUGGUAAGGUAACGGCUUACCAAGGCAACGAUGCGUAGCCGACCUGAGAGGGUGAUCGGCCACACUGGAACUGAGACACGGUCCAGACUCCUACGGGAGGCAGCAGUAGGGAAUCUUCCGCAAUGGGCGAAAGCCUGACGGAGCAACGCCGCGUGAGUGAAGAAGGUCUUCGGAUCGUAAAACUCUGUUAUUAGGGAAGAACAAAUGUGUAAGUAACUAUGCACGUCUUGACGGUACCUAAUCAGAAAGCCACGGCUAACUACGUG